GAUCCUGGCUCAGGACGAACGCUGGCGGCGUGCCUAAUACAUGCAAGUCGAGCGGAUCUGUUUGAAGCUUGCUUCAGACAGGUUAGCGGCGGACGGGUGAGUAACACGUAGGCAACCUGCUCGUAAGACCGGGAUAACGUAGGGAAACUUACGCUAAUACCGGAUAGGGCACCUUCUCGCAUGAGAGGGUGCGGAAAGGUGGCGCAAGCUACCACUUGCGGAUGGGCCUGCGGCGCAUUAG
rnacentral:rRNA from 1 species